rnacentral:rRNA from 1 species
UCCGUAGGAUGCAAGCGUUGUCCGAAUUUAUUGGGUUUAAAGGGUGCGUAGGCGGCCUAUUAAGUUAGUGGUGAAAACGUUCGGCUUAACCGGAUACCCGCCAUUGAUACUGAUAGACUUGAGUGCGACAGAGGGUGUUGGAAUGUGUGGUGUAGCGGUGAAAUGCUUAGAUAUCACGCAGAACACCAAUUGCGAAGGCAGAUGCCUAUGUCGUAACUGACGCUGGGGCACGAAAGCGUGGGGAGCAAACAGG